GCGGGUAUAGCUCAGUGGUAGAGCAUCUUGUUGCCAACGAGAAGGCCGGGGGUUCGAGCCCCCCUACCCGCUCCA
rnacentral:tRNA from 1 species